GCGAGCGUUGUCCGGAAUCACUGGGCGUAAAGGGCGCGUAGGCGGUCCGGUAAGCGUGUGGUGAAAGCCCGGGGCUCAACCCCGGGUCUGCCGUGCGAACUGCCGGACUCGAGCACUGUAGAGGCAGGUGGAAUUCCGAGUGUAGCGGUGGAAUGCGUAGAGAUUCGGAGGAACACCGGUGGCGAAGGCGGCCUGCUGGGCAGUGUCUGACGCUGAGGCGCGACAGCGUGGGGAGCAAACAGG
rnacentral:rRNA from 1 species